GAUGAACGUUGGCGGUGUGCCUAAUAUAUGCAAGUCGAACGGAGUUAGUAGCAAUACUGGCUCAGUGGCGAACGGGUGAGUAACGCGUUGGUGAUCUGCCUUGAAGUGUGGAAUAACGUUUCGAAAGGAACGCUAAUACUGCAUGUGCUCUCGAUUUUCAGAAAGUUGAGAGUAAAGGAUUUAUUCGCUUCAAGAGGAGCCUGCGUCCCAUCAGCUGGUUGGUAGGGUAACGGCCUACCAAGGCUAUGACGGGUAGGGGACCUGAGAGGGUGGCCCCCCACAAUGGAACUGAAACACGGUCCAUACACCUACGGGUGGCAGCAGUAGGGAAUAUUAGAAAUGGACGAAAGUCUGAUCCAGCCAUGCCGCGUGAGUGAAGAAGGCCUUCGGGUUGUAAAGCUCUUUCGGUGGGGAAGAAAUCGCGCGGGCUAAUACCUCGUGUGGAUGACGGUACCCGCAUAAGAAGCACCGGCUAACUAC
rnacentral:rRNA from 1 species